CCAUGGCCCGUGUUCUUCAAGCGCGAGUGGAAUCGGAACUGGCCAUUCCUUGUCGGCUUCGCCAUCACCGGCACUCUCAUCACCAAGUUCUCUCUCGGCCUCACUGAGGAGGACGCAAAGAACUCACCUUUCGUGCAGAGGCACAAGAAGUGAUUUAGCAAAUUGAUUGUUAAAGGUUUCAGUUGGGCAAAGAAAGGAGAGUAUCAAUAAAUGCGACAUAGUUGCUUGUAGAAGUAAUAGUGGGAGAGUUCUGUUUGGAACUUUGGAUCCAUUGGUGAUUUGUAUUAAUGUGGUAAUGAACGUCACUGUUUUGACAAUGAAUUUCAAAUGUUUAAGCCUGAUUUAUACGGCCUUAAAUCCUUGAUAAUGUGAAGUAAAGAUUU